rnacentral:rRNA from 1 species
UUGGAGGGCAAGUCUGGUGCCAGCAGCCGCGGUAAUUCCAGCUCCAAUAGCGUAUAUUAAAGUUGUUGCAGUUAAAAAGCCCGUAGUUGAAUUUCGGAGUUUGUCGGUCGGUCGGGCUUCACUGUCCGCACUGGCCUGACGGAUUCCUACCUUCUGAAUAACCAGCAUGCUAUUAAGUUAGUGCGUUGGGGAAGCAGAGCUAUUACCUUGAAAAAAUUAGAGUGCUUAAAGCAGGCUUAUGCUUGAAUAGAUUAGCAUGGAAUAAUAAAAUAGGACGGCAUGGUUCUAUUUUGUUGGUUUCUAGGAUCACCGUAAUGAUUAAUAGGGAUAGUUGGGGGCAUUAGUAUUCAAUUGUCAGAGGUGAAAUUCUUGGAUUUAUUGAAGACUAACUUCUGCGAAAGCAUUUGCCAAGGAUGUUUUCAUUAAUCAAGAACGAAAGUUAGGGGAUCGAAGACGAUCAGAUACCGUCGUAGUCUUAACCAUAAACUAUGCCGACUAGGGAUCGGACGAUGUUAAUUUUUUAAUGACUCGUUCGGCGCCUUACGGGAAAC